AUGCAGCCUCUGCCCUUCAAGCCAAAGGGACACACAGAGGGUCUUGCCCUGGAUGCUGUCACCGUGGAGCAGAUGUCAGUGACAGCAUGGAUCACAGAGCCAUUGCUCCCUCAGGAUGAGCACAGCACAGCAACAUCAUCCUCCAGCAUAAGCAGGAGCUUUGCUGAACCACAUAAUACUGCCAUGUUCCUGUCCCAGGAGGUCAUACUGGGACUGGAUGAGACCACUUCACCUUUGGCCACAGCUGCCAGCAUUUCUCAGGAGACAGCCAGCCCCAUGAAGAUGGCAGCAGCUACAGUCAGUCCCCCCAACACAGAGGGAGCCAGCAUGGCAGCCCCACCACCUGCAGACCCCCCAAGUGAAUCCCUGGCGAAGGUCACCUUUUCCUCUACCACCAUGGGCACCAGCAAGGCUACAGAGGCAGGGACACGUGCCUUACCCAAGAGUGACCACAGCGCCUCACAGGACCCUCCUGGGCCUCCUGCUCAGCUGCCUCCAGCCCUUUUGCCCCAGCUUCCCUAUGAUGCUGUGCUGGGCACAGAGGAGACGCUUCCCCCCAGCCACAGCACAGCCCUGGGCACUGCUGGACAUGGGCUGCCUGGAGACAACGCUGUCACCCAGCCCCAGGCCACCACACGAGCUGUGGGCACGCUGGCUACAGGGAUGGAUGUCAUAGCUGGAGAGCACAUCCCACCUUUGGGAAGCACCAGUGCUGAGCUGGUGUCCAUCAGGAAUGAGGCCAGUACCAAAGCCACAGCAGGCACUGCCAUCCCAGAGACCAAGGACACACCACAGGGGCUCAGCACGAGUCUGUUCCCCCAUGCAGCUCUCAGUGACCCUGAUGGUCCUUCUCCAAGGCCCUUUCCACACUCCAUGGGCUCUCUGCUCCCUCAGUCCCUCUCAACAGGCCUUGGGACUACCACAGCAGAGGCAGCUGCAGGUGCAUCUCCUUCAGCCACUCCCAGCAUGGCCAUGCCUUUGUCCCUCAUGGGCACCAGUGGAGCAAAGCCAGACAAGGCCCCUCAAGCUGCUGCUGCUGCACCACCUUCCAUCACUGCGUUUGGCAUCGGUACUGUGCCAGCUGCCCGUCCAUCCUCCUUUGUUAGCAAUGCUCCAAUUGGUGAAAAAGGGAUGGGGUCAGCAUCACUAGCCAGCAGUGCCACCACAAUCGCACCAAUUGGUGAAAAAGGGAUGGGAUCAGCAUCACUAGCCAGCAGUGCCACCACAAUGCCAGGGGACAUGGAAGCCACCCUGCCUGUGCCUGAUGCACACCUCAGCCACAGCCAGCCAGGUCCCACAGCAGGCUCAACAACCACAGGAACUGGUGUCACACCCAGAUCUGCGCUAAGCCCUGUGCUCUGGGCUGGGCCCCGAAUUGUGGAAGCUCCAGGGACAGAGAUGCCAUCACCCAACACUGCACCAGGCACUGGCAGAGCUGCAUCAGAUACCCAUGGGGGACCCAGAGCAGUCACUGUGCACGUGGCAUCACAAGCAGAUGUUCCCCCUCUCCUGGAAGGCAGAGCCAAUGUAGGGAUGGCUCUGGAGGUGUCCCCAUCCAGCAUCCCCCAAGAGAUGACAACAGUCAUGUCCCCAGUGUCCCUGACGGCGCUACUGCAAGCAAUGGGGGCCUCAGGUGACCCCCAGCCCGAUGGCAGCACCACAGGACGAGCAAUGGGGAUGGGGUUCCUGGAGGUGAGCAUGGAGGAGAACCCAGGUGCCAGUGCAGCGGGGCCAACUCCCACCCACACGACUGUCACUGCCAGACCACCCCCAGAGCCACCUGCCACUGAGGACAAGCCCACAGCUGGGAUCACCUCGCUGGCUGUGGGCCACACAAGUGUGCGAGGGGCUACAGCUGCAUCCUGGACAGGUGCCACAGGUACCACUGCCCAUGUGGAGACCCCCCGUUCUGAGAGCAGCACCGAGGGUGCAGCACCCUCAGCCAGCUCCAGCAGCACCUAUGGCCCCGACUCCAAGGCCACUGGCACAAGCCUGGCCACCAUGCUGGCCACCACACCAUCCACCAGCACGUUCCCCAGCAAUGCUAACCUGCCAACCACCUCUACAGGCUGGGAGACCUUUGUGACCAGGGCCACCACAGCCAUGCCACCUGCCACAGCAGGGGCCACCAGCACCAGCAGUGCUCCAUCCCUGGCUGUAACACACAGCGAGACAAGCGGAGGUGGGCAGCCUGUCCCUUCCCCAGCAGCACGUCACCCCUUGGUGGAGACAACUCUUGGAUCCUGGGGCGUCCUCGGUCCCAGCACUGCUGUUGCAGUGUCUGGUUCUCCCCUCCCCAGCCUGCACAGCCCAGCAGAGGAGACAACAACAACCCCCUUGUCCCUGCUUGGUGUUGGUGCAACUGGGGUGGCAGCAGCUGGACAGACUCCCACCGAGUCAGCAACAGGCACCACUUCUACAUCCAGCAUCUACCACUACAUGGGACAAGCAGCAAGCACGUCACCUCCUGCCUUCCAGACAUCUCCAGGGGCACCUGCCUGGAAGGAGAAGACAGCCAUCAGCACAGGCAGCCCCACAGCCACUGCUGCAGGGAACAGCACUGCUGCCACUGCCUCCACUGCCACCAUUGCCAACGCUGUGCCACCACUGCCACCACUGCCACCACUGCAGGGAACAGCACUGCCACCACCGCCACCACUGCCACCACUGCAGGGAACAGCACUGCCGCCACUGCCACCACUGCCACCACUGCAGGGAACAGCACUGCUGCCACUGCCACCACUGCCACCACUGCCACCACUGCAGGGAACAGCACUGCCACCACCGCCACCACUGCCACCACUGCAGGGAACAGCACUGCCGCCACUGCCACCACUGCCACCACUGCAGGGAACAGCACUGCUGCCACUGCCACCACUGCCACCACUGCCACCACUGCAGGGAACAGCACUGCCACCACCGCCACCACUGCCACCACUGCAGGGAACAGCACUGCCGCCACUGCCACCACUGCCACCACUGCAGGGAACAGCACUGCUGCCACUGCCACCACUGCCACCACUGCCACCACUGCCACCAUUGCCACCACUGCAGGAAACAACACUGCCACCACUGCCACCACAGCAACCACUGCCACCACUGCAGGGAACAGCUCUGCCACCACUGCCACCACUGCAGGGAGCAACACUGCCACCACUGCCACCACAGCAACCACUGCCACCACUGCAGGAAACAACAGUGCCAACACUGCCACUGCUGCCACCACCGGCACCACUGCAGGGAACACCACUGCCACCACGGGGAACAGCACUGCCAACACUGCCAACACUGCCACCACUGGCACCACUGCAGGGAACACCACUGCCACCACUUCAGACAAGACCAGAGCCACCACUGCAGGGAACAGCACAGCUAUUGCACCCACAGCCCCAGUGA
rnacentral:lncRNA from 1 species